rnacentral:lncRNA from 1 species
UACCGUUUCAAUUGCAAACAAGACGGGAAAUUUGCAAAGUAUUCAUAUAUAUUUGAUGAAAGUAUGAAACAUUAUCACUCGGCGACAAAAACAAAAUUGUAACAAUAGCUGAAACUACAUCAACCAAUUUACAGAUAGAGGCAAUAUACUUAUGCCUAGAAGUUUUAGGUCAGACCAAAACUAAAAAAUAAAUUCCACAACUGAGUAGUAUUCUUAUGAGAAAGAGAGCGGCAAACAUCAAUUAGCAAGCAAAUCAUCAACCAGAAAACAGGCCAUCAAAAUAAAAAUUGUUUUGCAUAAUUAUCAUAGUGAUCAUGAUGGCAUAUAAUACAUAGUCUUGCUGCACAAGAGUUGAUUCUGUUCAAGAUCAACCUCAAACAAAAGGAAUAAUUUAAUUAAUCUUUCGAAAAUAACUUUCAAGUAGUUUUUCCAUCAGCACCAAUCGGUUAAUAGAACAAAAGAAGAUCAAUCAAAAUCUUAACUAUAAAACCAAACUGCAGUAGCCAUUGAUAUAUGAAAUUAUGAAUAUUAAUCAAAGAAAGCAAUAUAUUUCCUUUUUACAUGUCAGAUUAAUUGCAUAAAGGCCACUAAGAAAUGCUUAUGUUAUCGGCCAAUUUUCAAGACAGGCGAUACUUAUGCCUAAUUGAUGUCCCGUCAAGUCAAAAUUAAAUAAACGUGAACCAAAAUAUACGACGGAAACACAUAGACUGAAUAGUGAUCGCUAACAAAAACAAAUACUUGUACAGCUGAUAAAACAGAAUAGGCAAAGAGAAAACCAAAUCAAUUUUCAGAAUGAUAUCAAACCAAUUGAGAGAAAUCGCAAAUCAAUGAAAAAUAGGGAUUCAAAACAAACAAAUUGGUGAUGUCUCUUGAUUGGUUCCAUAAAAACAUAUGAUCUUUCAGUAUAAUAUGUGUGAAUUAUGAUGCAUCAAACAACCGAAUUCCUCAAGAAUUUUUGUUUAAAAAAUAGUGCCUUUUGAUCAAUUUGAAUUUUCAACAAGAAAAUAUAUGACUGAAUUGAGCAUAGAACUAGUAUACAAAACUAGUCAUAUAUAAAACCAUGUGCUUGACAAAAUUCUUAAAACAAUAUUUGUAAACGAUUUUGAUUCUUCAAUCUCUCAUUUAAUAAAAUGAAUAAAAAUAAAAACACACCGCACAUGAUUUUGGUUCAAAGAGUUGCAUAGCCAUACCAAUUUAUUUACGGUUUAUCUACCGAAGGAUAUC